CUCGGCUCGGCACACCGCUGCCGGCCAUCGCCGCAGCCGGAGAUGGAGGACAUCGAGGACGUGCUGGGCCCGGUCGGCCUCUCUGUCGGCGGAGCGCCUCCGGUGCUCCGCCUCCUGCUAGCCUCCGUCGCGGCAAGCUCAAGCGCCGGUCGUCCAGGGCUGCGCAUGCGCGGCCUCAGCUCGAGGCCCGGAUCCCCGGCACGCAGACGAUUCACGUCAAGACUAUCGGGUGCUCACAUAACCAGAGUGACAGUGAAUACAUGUCAGUGGAUCGUGUGAAAACUGUUGUCGGCUUGUCGCUGAAGGUGUCCGGGAGAUUUGGUUGAGUAGCCAGUAGCGAAGAUACCGGUGCUUAUGGACAGGAUAUCGGUACAAUCUUCCAAAUUUGUUAAACACGAUUGUUGCGGAGCAUCCUGUUGACCGAAGCACAUUGCUCCGCAUAGGCAUGACAAAUCCACCUUUCAUACUAGAGCAUCUGAAGGAGAUAUCUGCCGUUUUGCGUCACCCCUGGGUUUAUUCGUUCCUCCAUGUUCCUCUGCAAUCUGGAAGUGAUGCUGUUUUAACGGCGAUGAGUGGUGAAUACACUGUUGGCAAGUUCAGAAAGGUAGUUGAUGCUUUGUGUGAGCUUGUCCCUGGAAUGCAAAUUGCUACAGAUAUUAUCUGCGGCUUUCCUGGUUAGCUAAACAAGUUCACGGCUUAGCAUUUCAUUCUUAGUUAUCAUUUAUGAGUACAUCUGAACGACAUUUUAUUAACUGAAUGCCCCAAAAGACGUUGCUGCUAAUAGUUUGCACUAAACUGACAUCCCAUUUUGAGGUGAGACUGAUGAGGAUUUCUCUGAGACUGUUAACCUCGUAAAGCAAUAUCAACUCCCUCAAUACACAACGUUCCGUAAAUCUACAAGUUUUGGUUGUUGACAUUCUUUUCCUACAUGUACAUCGACAACGUGGUUUUUCUAGGGACGCCCUGCUGCUAGGAUGAAGAAGGUAUCGAGCAAUGAAGUGAAAAAAGCGGAGUCGUGAACUGACUUCAGUUUUCGAAUCAUUGUCACCGUACCAAGGAAUGGUAGGCAAAGUAGAGAGGAUCUGGAUCACUGAGAUCGCGACCGGUGGUGUUCGCUUGGUUGGGCAUACCAAGGGAUACAUCCAGGUGCUGGUAAUUGCCCCUGAUAGCAUGUUAGGAGCGUCAGCAAAUGUGAAGGUUACAUCUGUUCGGCGACGUCUUUGGUGAAGUGGUGGAAGAAGGAUCUGUUGCGGCAGGAGAAGCACCGAAGCGAACUAGCGCGACUUGUAGUGGUGGUUCUUGAGCGAGCGUGUCGAUGGUCGAUUUUGGCGGUUUGUUUUGUUUACUCGGUCUGUUCUGUAUGGCGUUGCAAAAUUGUGCUACUGUACAAAUACAUGGUUGCGAACAGGUUAACGCGGAGUCUUCUGAUGCUGCG